UAUCUUAACUGGCAGGGGAGAUACCAUGAUCAUAAAGGUAGAUUUUCCAGGGUGAGGCUUAUCCAUUGUACUUCAGAUGUGCUGACCCCUGGAAUUUCCCCAAAUGCAGGAAACUUGACUGCAUAGUUUGUGGUGGUGGGGGACUGCGUUAAUGCUGUCCCCGG
ensembl:snRNA U1 U1 spliceosomal RNA